CAAGCGGUGGAGCAUGUGGUUUAUUUUAAUGCAACGCAAAAAACCUUACCUGGUCUUGACUUCCGCGGAAGUUUUCAAAGAUGAGAAUGUGCCUUCGGGAACCGUGAAACAAGUGCUGCAUGGCUGUCGUCAGCUCGUGUUGUGAAAUGUUGGGUUAAGUCCCGCAACCAGCGCCCCCCUUAUCUUUUGUUGCCAGCGGUCCGGCGGGCACUUUAAAGGAAACGGCCCGUAAUAAACGGGAGAAGGGGGGGGAUGACUUCAAUUCUUCUGGGCCUUAUUGACCAGGGUUCCCCAGGUGUAACAAGGAGGCAAACAAAGAGCACCGACCUCCCGAGAGCAAGCAACACCUAAAAAAAUGCGUCCUAUUCCGGAUGGUCGUCUGCACCUCCUCGCCUUGAAGUCGAAUUAAUAUUUAUUUGUGAAUAUAAAGGCGACGAUGAUUUCUUUCCCGG
rnacentral:rRNA from 1 species